rnacentral:rRNA from 1 species
GUCGAACGGUGAACUUUGGAGCUUGCUCUAAGGGGAUCAGUGGCGAACGGGUGAGUAACACGUGAGUAACCUGCCCCGGACUCUGGAAUAAGCGCUGGAAACGGCGUCUAAUACCGGAUACGAGACGCAACCGCAUGGUUAGUGUCUGGAAAGUUUUUCGGUCUGGGAUGGACUCGCGGCCUAUCAGCUUGUUGGUGAGGUAAUGGCUCACCAAGGCGACGACGGGUAGCCGGCCUGAGAGGGCGACCGGCCACACUGGGACUGAGACACGGCCCAGACUCCUACGGGAGGCAGCAGUGGGGAAUAUUGCACAAUGGGCGAAAGCCUGAUGCAGCGACGCCGCGUGAGGGAUGACGGCCUUCGGGUUGUAAACCUCUUUCAGCAGGGAAGAAGCGAAAGUGACGGUACCUGCAGAAGAAGCACCGGCUAACUACGUGCCAGCAGCCGCGGUAAUACGUAGGGUGCGAGCGUUGUCCGGAAUUAUUGGGCGUAAAGAGCUUGUAGGCGGUUUGUCGCGUCUGCUGUGAAAAUCCGGGGCUCAACCCCGGACUUGCAGUGGGUACGGGCAGACUAGAGUGUGGUAGGGGAGACUGGAAUUCCUGGUGUAGCGGUGAAAUGCGCAGAUAUCAGGAGGAACACCGAUGGCGAAGGCAGGUCUCUGGGCCACUACUGACGCUGAGAAGCGAAAGCAUGGGGAGCGAACAGGAUUAGAUACCCUGGUAGUCCAUGCCGUAAACGUUGGGCGCUAUGUGUGGGACUCAUUCCACGAGUUCCGUGCCGCAGCU